AUUGCUUCUUGGCAUUUUUGCUAAGUUCAAAUGCACUAUCUGUUCUUAUCAGUUUAAUUUCUGAUACAUUCUCUAUCUGAGGAAAACAUGUUAAAUAAAUUUUGGGGACAGGAAGCCAUCAUAGACAAUGCUCUGUCCAUUCUACACAUUGAUCUGGUAUUGACCUCCAAGAACAGUGCACCUCUU